GACGAACCGUGCGAACGUUGUUCGGAAUCACUGGGCUUAAAGGGCGCGUAGGCGGGCAGGCAAGUCAGGGGUGAAAGCCCACGGCUCAACCGUGGAAGCGCCUUUGAUACUGCCGGUCUCGAGGGAGGUAGGGGCGUGCGGAACUUCCGGUGGAGCGGUGAAAUGCGUAGAUAUCGGAAGGAACACCGGUGGCGAAAGCGGCGCGCUGGGCCGGAACUGACGCUGAGGAGCGAAAGCGUGGGUAGCAAACAGG
rnacentral:rRNA from 1 species